AAUGAUCAAGAACUUGUUUGACUGAAGAGAUAGAAUGAAAAGGGAAGACCCAAAAGUGUUUUAUAACAGAAUGCGCAAGAUGGUUUGCAUCAUGGUUAUGAAGGAAAAGCUGACAGUAUUUUUGAGACAGCAAGAAAAACAUCAUUGAACACCACCAACUAAUAAGACUCCAAAGGAAUAACAAAGAUUAGAGUUUAAAGAAUGGAUUCAAUGCUGGUACUUGGAUAAAGAUAAUCAGGCAUGGACUCUCAUCUCCUAUGGAUCUUCAGCACCUUUAGGUUACAGUUUUAUAUUUCACUAGAAGAGACUCAUAAAUAAACAAAGGACAGUCAGUUACUACAAAAGAGAAGCAUCGGAGAUUAGUGAUAUUUUGUUCAGCAUUGUUGCAUCUUACAAAGAUGUAAACUAUUAAAAUAUUGUUUACAUCUAUCAAUUAAUGAUUUUGAUACAUGUACCAGUAAUUAAUAAUUUUGAUGUGGGGUAAACUGGUAAAAUUGAAUGGAAAACAAGCAGAUGACUUGGUAAUGAUGUGUAAAAAACAUCAUUCAUUUAAUUAAUACAUGCAAUUGCAUGCAGUUAAAAUUCGGUCAAAAUUCUUGUGGUGUAUAUUGAAAGGUGUAACCAAGAGGGAAACAUGAAAUGAUUUUCAUAUUAUCAUGAAAAUAAAAGUCAAGUUGUAUAUUAUACAGUUAUUUCUGUUUUUGAGGUCAUUAUAAUGGUUUGGCUUGCCUAGAUGUAUGCAUUCACCGAUCCUAAAGAAGGAAGUAAAUAUUGUCCCUCGAUGGUUGUUGAUCAAUAUAUUAACCCCCCCCCCCCCCCCCCCAAAAAAAAUAAAUAAAUGCAAUUUCAAUUUUUGUAUAAUACCAUAUGUAUCAUACCCAUAGGGUAUGGUGUGUACAAAACAAGUGUGACCUUUUGAUUUGGCUGUUGGACUUAAAAAAAAAAAUUUAGGCUGAAAAAAACCCCUCAAAAAUGGGAUAUGAUACUGUUUUUGUAAAUAUGGAUCGUCUCCCUUUUCAGCUUAAAAUUAGAACAUUUUACUGGUCAUGAAAAUAUUUUGAUUAAAUGAAAAGUAAAAUUGUGUUGUAUUUCAAAUUGGAAAAUUGAGAAAUUUUUUUGAAAUGUCAAUUUAUUCUUACAUGCAUACCUGGUAUAUAUUCAUGAUAUGUGUAUAGGGCAUAUUUUUUGUACUGUGACAAAAAAAGGGAAAUUGCCAUUUUUUAUAUGAAACUCGUCAAUCAUUUUGGGAAAAUAAUAAUCAUUUGCACAAAAAUGUUUUAAUUAUUUUAUUUUCUAUAGGGUAUGGUGUCUAUGAAACUAGCAUGGCCUUUUGGUUUGGCUGUAGGGUUUUUUAAUUUUUUGAUAGCUGAAAAUCCUCAAAAAAUUGAUAUUUUGCUGUUUUUGUCAAUAUGGAUUAUCUCCCCUUUUCAGCUUAAAAUUAGAACAUUUUACUGGACAUGGAAAUAUUUUGAUUAAUUAUGAAAAGUUACUAUUUGAGCUGUAUUUGAAUGAGAAAUAAACAAAAAUGUGAUUUAU